rnacentral:tRNA from 1 species
GGAGCUGUAACUCAGCUGGUAGAGUGGCAGAUUGCAACGUUAAAUGUAGCAAUUUAUCUGUAAGUCCCGCGUUCGAGUCGCGGCAGUUCCU